GAGUAACAGAAUAAAAAACGGAAUGCGAGCAAAGAACAACCGGUAGUCAACCCCCGCAUUAUUAGUUUAAAUUAAUGUUUUGAAUUUUAUAAAAUUCAAAACAUGUAAAAUUAAAAAAUAUAAUGUAGCAAUAAGUUUUGUAUUGCUAUGCCAUCUGUGUGUUGUAUACCAAAAUAAUAGUGGCCUGCAACAAUAAAGUAAGUUUAGCGGAAGCUGCACAAUAAGGGGAAAGCCUGUCACUAAUGCUAAACAUGCACAAAAAAUGACAAGGAAUGCAAGCAUUGGGAGAAGCUUUGAGCUUUGCAAAGUGCUGUAUAUGAAGGAAGGUACCUAAAGAACAGAAAAUUUAUGGAACACAUUGCCAUUGGAAGUUGUCAAGUAAACAAAUGUAAACAGUUUCAAGAGAAAAUUAGACAAAUAUUUAGUA
rnacentral:lncRNA from 1 species